GAUGAAGAACGUAGCGAAUUGCGAUACGUAAUGUGAAUUGCAGAAUUCAGUGAAUCAUCGAGUCUUUGAACGCACAUUGCGCCCCCUGGUAUUCCGGGGGGCAUGCCUGUCCGAGCGUCAUUGCUGCCCUCAAGCACGGCUUGUGUGUUGGGCUCCGUCCCCCCGGGGACGGGCCCGAAAGGCAGCGGCGGCACCGAGUCCGGUCCUCGAGCGUAUGGGGCUUUGUCACCCGCUCUGUAGGCCCGGCCGGCGCCAGCCGACAACCCAUCAUCCUUUUCAGGUUGACCUCGGAUCAGGUAGGGAUACCCGCUGAACUUAAGCAUAUCAAUAAGCGGAGGA
rnacentral:misc_RNA from 1 species